rnacentral:lncRNA from 12 species
CCUCCAAGUAAUAUACUUUAUCUAAAAAAUAUUUUUCUUGCAUUUAUUUGUUUUAUACUAAAUGAGAUCAUGCUAACCAUGCUGUUUGGAACUUUUUUUUUUUUUUUUCACUUCAUAACACAGUCUAGACUUGCUCUCAUUUCAUUAUCUAUUUUAAAAACACAUGCAUCCUUCAUAAAAGCUUUAGGCUGUUCUUAGAUCUCUUCCCACCCUUUCUCCAAUAGAUUAGGCAAGGGGGACAUUUUCCACAAGUGCUUCCUAAUUUUAAAAAGAAUGACCACAAGUUGGUGAUUUUGACCAGUUCUGCUGAGAGCAUCAUGUCUCAGCUGUAGUCACUGGUGUCCUGCAGAGGCAGUUAUCUGGGGUGGCAGGCUGGUUCCUCCACCUGAGGCUGCCCUGUCAGAUACAUGCAUGGCUUUGCUUCAGACUCCAUUCCAUUCUGUCAGCCUGUCACCACCCUCCUGCCGUUGGAAUGUCCACAGCGUCAGGAAUCAGCACAAGUCUGCUAUGGAUACCUUAUACUAAAUCAAUGCAGGGUAUCUGUGCUUUCCAGGUAAUUUUCUUGGCUCUCUCAUCACUAUUAAAAUCACAAAUCCAGGGUUUAUGUUCCAUAUUAAUCCUUUGCUGAAUAAUUUUUAACAAAUUAUUUGUAGAUCUAGUUAGAGAAAUAAGGAAGUAUUGAGGUCGGUUUCCUAGCUGGUACAUCG